GCACUUCAAGCAAUCUGUAAAAGACACAAGAUUUCAUUUUGAAUUCACACCUCUUGCAACCCCGAAGGGAAAUUCAGCUGUCAAACGGGGGGACGUUAAUUUCAUCCUGGGGAUAAGGAGUCUGACAAAUAAUCUUCUCCUGGAAGGAGAGUUGUUGUGCCGUUGCUGCUUCAUGUGAGUGAAUGCACAAAGAGUUCUCCUGGCUCAAACCAAAAGGCCAUCAAGUCCAGCACCAUGUCUCCCAACAGCGGCCAGCCAGAUGCCUCCAGGAAGUCCACAAGCCGGGCAGAAACCCGUCGAGAGGGUAAAUAACAGGAGGAAUUGUUCCGGGAGAAGAAGCUGGAAAAAAAAAUCUCCCGGGCAGUU